UUAAAUUGAAGAGUUUGAUCAUGGCUCAGAUUGAACGCUGGCGGCAGGCCUAACACAUGCAAGUCGAACGGUAACAGAAAGCAGCUUGCUGCUUUGCUGACGAGUGGC
rnacentral:rRNA from 1 species